rnacentral:rRNA from 1 species
CGCGUGAGGGAUGAACGGCCUUUAGGGUUGUAAAGACUCUUUCGCUCGGGGACGAUAAUGACGGUACCCGAGAUAAGAAGCCCCGGCUAACUUCGUGC